rnacentral:rRNA from 1 species
AUUGAACGCUGGCGGCAUGCUCUACACAUGCAAGUCGAACGGUAACAGGCCGCAAGGUGCUGACGAGUGGCGAACAGGUGAGUAAUGCAUCGGAACGUGCCCAGUCGUGGGGGAUAACUACUCGAAAGAGUAGCUAAUACCGCAUACGAUCUAUGGAUGAAAGCGGGGGACCGUAAGGCCUCGCGCGAUUGGAGCGGCCGAUGUCAGAUUAGGUAGUUGGUGGGGUAAAGGCUCACCAAGCCAACGAUCUGUAGCUGGUCUGAGAGGACGACCAGCCACACUGGGACUGAGACACGGCCCAGACUCCUACGGGAGGCAGCAGUGGGGAAUUUUGGACAAUGGGCGCAAGCCUGAUCCAGCAAUGCCGCGUGCAGGAAGAAGGCCUUCGGGUUGUAAACUGCUUUUGUACGGAACGAAACGGCUCUGGUUAAUACCCGGGGCUAAUGACGGUACCGUAAGAAUAAGCACCGGCUAACUACGUG